CAUGCAGUAUGUAUUACGCACUCACAUAUUUACCCUUAAAAGUGAGUCUGUGUUAUAUUGUAUUAUGUCAUAUGAGAGCAUGGUUUAAAAUUGUUUCUAUUAUCAUUACAAGUCACACCAAAGGUGAAAGACACGAUAAAAGCUUUAUAGAAAUGACAACAAAGUCACCCCUUUCUAAACCCGUCCAUGAUAGCUUUAUGUUUAUAC